ACGGGAAUAGUUUUAAUUUUUAGCGAGAAUUUAAAUAAAUUGUCGGCAAUAGUAAAUUUUUUUUUUUGGGCGCCACCAGCUCCCGCCAGCAACUCUCUCGCUUUUUUGAAACAAAUAUAGAAUAAAUAAAAAUGCGAUAAAUGAAUCAGCAUCUUUCUUUCAUCUCUAACCUACAUCUCGUUCAUCUCUCUUUUUUUCUCUCCAUGUUAUUUAUUUAUUUAUUUAUUUUUGUUUAAGGCAAAAUCCUUUUCCACCUCAAGCAAAUCAGCAUCUCCAAAAGGUUGAAGCUAAGCAAAUCACCUGCGGGUGCUGCCGAUCUGCUGGUGUGCCCUGGUGUAAGUGUUCUGAAGGUUGCCGUUGCGGUUCUACAGAAAUGGAGGUGCGACAGAGAGAGAGAGACGAGUGGUUGGCAGCGUUUGGCAAUUUAGGUGGUUUUAUUUUCAGAGAGAGAGAGAGAGAGAGAAACUCAGGAGCGUGGUGGGGUUUACGUGUUGUGCUGUUUGGACACCGCCUUCAAUCUGUUUGGAGAAAAACCCAAACCAAAUAAAAAUCUGGAAUCCGGUCUGAUUUCUCUUUUCUCAGUUUUGGUCGUGUGGGACUCUGUAUAAUGGGGGGAGGGAUCAAUAUUAAUGCAAAAUACUUAAAAAUAAUAUAUGUGGGAUGAUUUUCUUUAUUGUUUUUACUAUUUUUAUUUUUUUUCCUUGACAGAGAUGUAAUAGUGGGCAAUAUCCUUUGAUGUUGAAUGUUAUCAUUCUUUGUGGUUCUUCCUGGUGUUUUCAUUUCAUCAACUUUAGUUGUUUUUAGGUUGGAAUAUUUGAUGCUACAAACAGUACCAAGAAAAGAAGGAAUAUGCUGAUGAAAUGGCUGAAGGAAAAUGCAAGAUUAUCUUUCUGGAAACAAUAUGCAAUGAUGAACGUAUCAUUGAAAGAAAUAUAAGUCUCAAAAUUCAACAAAGUCCUGACUAUGCAGAACAUUAUGGUUACCUUUUGAGACCAUCUAUUUAUUUCGAUUGAUAGUGAUUUGCAUACUAAUUUACUGUCCUGUUGCAGGCUAGAUUUUGAGGUUGGAUUGGCAGACUUUAAAACUUGACUAGCUAACCAUGAAAAGUGUUGCUUGGCAAUUGAUAUGACCUUUUCUCAAGAAGUAUAUAAACUAAUUACGUACAUUAGUAAAUUACACAAGCAAAUGUGCAUUAGGAUAACUUUUGGCCUUUGUUGUUCUUCUACAAACUAAGAAUGCAGAAAUAGCGUGGUAUUUGGCAAUAACGUUAAUGGAACCAUUCCAAGUGAGAUUGGUCAUUUGAAGAAUCUCAUCCGUUUGGAGCUGCAACAAAAUACACUUACAGGCCCCAUCCUAGAUUCUUUUGGGAACUUGACUGCCUUGAAGUUCUUGUGAUAUAUAUCAAAUUAAUCUUUGAUACUUAAAGCGAAAAAAGGACUUGUCUACCAAUAAUCUCACUGGAUCCAUUCCAGUAUCUCUUGGCCAGUUGGCAUCUUUACAGAACUUGAAUUUGAAGAGUAAAAUCUUACUGGCACCAUACCAACUGAGAUUCUUGGGCUUGUUCCCUUGGCUGUAAUCAGGAUCAUAGACGUUUCUAACAACAAGUUGGAUGGGAGUGUACACAACGCUACAUCAGGACUUGUUGUUACUUCGAUUGUACAAGAUCCAAAAGCCUAGAAGUGCUAGAGAUGGAGAUAAUGUGGCAUUUGCAUUUAGCUGCUUGAUACUAUUUAGGCGAUUUAAUUAAUAAAACUGAGAUUUCUAGGUCCCACUAUACAUGUCAAUAAAUCUACGUACACAUGUUCCUGAUUUUAUGUUCUUUGUCUGUAUGUAAACAAAUAAAUAUUAUGUUCAGAUUUGUUAUACAGAUAAUAAAAUUUAUAAAAAUAAAUUAUUUGUAAUA